GUGUGACUAUGGUGGGGGGAGACAAUAGGUUGAAAUGAUGAAGGGGAUUUAUGUUUUGAGAGGGAUGGCAUUAUAGGGUGCGGGGGGGCCCUAAGAUGCAAGAGACCGUCAGUGUGAAGUAGUGAAUUGUGGUGCAAAGUAAUGAUGGGUUAGGAAGAGUUUGUUUUAAGAUGUCUUUUACAGCUAGCCCUGGGGUUUGCUGUUUGGAGUACCUAGUUGCAGCAACAGAAUUCCUUUAGAGGUCACUGUCAAAUGAACAAAAGCACAGAACAGUGCUGCUGUAUGCUGGAAUAUGGAAGCCCAGGAUGGGGUCUGGUUGCAGGGCUUGGUUCCUUGAUCUCAGUGACAAUUGCCGGGGGGGGAAGUAAUUUUGUAAGGAGAAAUCAGGACCAAGAUGUUUAAUUUCUGUUUAUUUUUGGUGUCACCUCAGGAGGCUUAAUUGUCAAGAGACAAGGUUCCUGGCCUUCAGUUCCUGAUGAUGAAAACUCUUAGAGGGAAAUAAAUCAUCAACAGUCUGUGCUUUAAUAAAAGCUUCAACUCCUGAUCCUGUGUAUCACUGAAAACAAGGGCUCUUUAAUCCGAUUUCUGUACUCCACCUUGGCAAGUGGAGUAGCGCUUAAAUCAAGAUCCCAAUCCUGGGUUAAAGGUAUUGUGGACGCAAUUCAAUGUUAUUGGCCUCCUGGAGCUAUCCCAGAAUGCUCCCUUGUGACCGCUCUGCACAACACUCUCAACUCCGAUGCACUAUCCAGGUGGGCAGGAAAAGCCUCGGGAACUUUUGAAUUUCAUUUCCUGUUUGGUGACUAUCAGCACGGUCCACCAUCACAAGAGAUCACGCAGUCCCGGAUUCGCAGACGAGCUCCAGCAUGGUCUGAACGGGAGGUACUGGAUCUCAUCGCAUAUUGGGGAGACGAAUCUGUUAUGGCAGAACUACAUUCCAAAAAGAACGCAAAUACAUACGCUAAAGUCUCCGUGACGGAAAGAGGCUACUCCAGGGACGCAGAGCAGUGUCGUACAAAAAUCCAAGGAGCUCAGGCAAGCGUACCAAAAAGCCAGGGAGGCGAACGGAUGCUCUGGGUCACAGCCCCAUACAUUCCGUUUCUACUGUGAGCUGCAUGCAAUUAUGGAGAGUGAGGCCUCCACUACCCCACCGCCGUCCGUGGUCACCUGCAAGGGGGGAGUUGCACGGAGCGAGGAGAAUGAGUUAUUGGAGGAAGAAGAGGAGGAGGAGGACAGUGCACAGGCGGCAAGUGGGGAAUCCGUUUUCCCAGCAGCCAGGAACUAUUCUUAAUGCUGGAGCCAAUAGCCUCCCCCCACUCCCAAGGUGGGCUCCCGGACCGUGACCCUGGAGAAGGUACUUCUGGUGCAAAUGUUUCAACGCGGUCCCUAUCUACUCUGUCCCAGAGGCUGGUCCAGAUUAGAAGGCCAAAACAACGAACUUGGGACGACAUGUUCGCUGAGCUCAUGCAGUCCUCCUGCACUGAUAGGGCCCAGCUGAAUGCAUGGAGGCAAACAAUUGCGGAGUCCUGUAAUGCGUUAAAUGAACAUGAAGAGAGGAGGGACGCAUGUGAUGAGAGCAGGCAGGACGCUAUGGUCAAGCUCAUGGGGGAGCAAACUGACAUGCGGCACUGUAUGGUGGAUCUAAUGCGGGACAAGACCAAAGACUGCCGCUGCAGCCCCUGUAUAACUACCCUCCCUCCUGCCCAAGUUCCAUAGCCGCCUCACCCAGACGCCCAAGGACAUGAGAGGGGAGGCUACGGGGACCUACACACUCAACCCCAGAGGAUCGCCCAAGCAGCAGAGAGCUGGCAUAUGCGAACUUUUGAUUUGGUUUCUGGACUUGUCCUUCCCUCCUCCUUCACCCCCCUAACCCAAUACCACCCCUCCCCCCCGGUCUACCUUCUGA